rnacentral:rRNA from 1 species
CCUUCGACGUUAGCGGCGGACGGGUGAGUAACACGUGGGCAACCUACCUUAUAGUUUGGGAUAACUCCGGGAAACCGGGGCUAAUACCGAAUAAUCUGUUUCACCUCAUGGUGAAACACUGAAAGACGGUUUCGGCUGUCGCUAUAGGAUGGGCCCGCGGCGCAUUAGCUAGUUGGUGAGGUAACGGCUCACCAAGGCGACGAUGCGUAGCCGACCUGAGAGGGUGAUCGGCCACACUGGGACUGAGACACGGCCCAGACUCCUACGGGAGGCAGCAGUAGGGAAUCUUCCACAAUGGGCGAAAGCCUGAUGGAGCAACGCCGCGUGAGUGAAGAAGGAUUUCGGUUCGUAAAACUCUGUUGUAAGGGAAGAACAAGUACAGUAGUAACUGGCUGUACCUUGACGGUACCUUAUUAGAAAGCCACGGCUAACUACGUGCCAGCAGCCGCGGUAAUACGUAGGUGGCAAGCGUUGUCCGGAAUUAUUGGGCGUAAAGCGCGCGCAGGUGGUUUCUUAAGUCUGAUGUGAAAGCCCACGGCUCAACCGUGGAGGGUCAUUGGAAACUGGGAGACUUGAGUGCAGAAGAGGAUAGUGGAAUU